CGCUGCCGCCAUUUCGCGAGGAGAGGACAUUCGCAGAAGGAGCCAGAGGAGGGAGACGAGCCUGAGCCAAGAGCAGGAGGAGGAAGGCGUCGCUGUGCCUCCCGUUGCCGUCGCCAAACCACCGCGCCGCCGUAGCUGUCUCCGGGAAGGUCGUUGAAGCUUGCUGAGGUCUGAAACAAUUCAUCCAUGUCAGUGCUCAUUUUUAUCCCCUGUUCUGCCUCUGCCUCUGGGUUCUGUGAGUUGCCGGAGCUCUCUGCCACUAGGAGCCAACAUUCGAGCUGCCCAGGAAACCACCAUUAGAACCACUACUGUUUUGAGAUUAUUGUAAAAUUACCUUGCCGCCGCCGUUACUGGAGGCAGCUGCCGGCUCUAUUUGGAGAUUGCUAGUGCCAUUGGAGUCGUCGGGAACCAAUGUUGGAGCCGCUCUUGAUGAUUCUGAUGCUGCUACAUAGGUCCCGAGCUACUGUGUUGUUGCUAGAGGAAGGGAACUCAUAGGAAAAACGUCACCGAGGCUGCUGCUUGGUUUAAUUGCGUUGUUAAUGUGACAUUGAGGUAGGGGGUUUAAAAUGAUUUUAAUUUAGGAAUGCCUACAAGGUUUAUUGAAUAACUGCAAAUAGAUUUAAUAUCUGUGAGUAAUUGAUUGACUAUGUGAAUAUUGAAUUGUGGCUGAAAUUGUGAUUGGAAUGGUUGAGAUUGUUAUUUGGAAUUGUUGAUUAGUGAUAUUGAUUGAUUAUGUGGAUUGGGAAUUGCUUGAUGACUAAUUGUUGAGAAUUUCUGAAUGUUAAUGGGUUAUGUUGGAUUUGUUGCCGUUGAGUUGUUAUUUGGUAUAUUUUAAUGUUAAUGAACUUGGUUGGUGGUUGAUUUGGAAUUGGUUUUGAGGGGUUUUGAAGGGUUGGGUUUUGAAUACUAAAUAGAUUGCUGAAAAACUGA